rnacentral:rRNA from 1 species
GUGCCAGCCGCCCGGUAAUACGGAGGGUGCAAGCGUUGUUCGGAAUCACUGGGCGUAAAGGGCGCGCAGGCGGCUUGGCAAGUCAGAUGUGAAAGCCCACGGCUUAACCGUGGAAGUGCAUUUGAAACUGCCUGGCUUGAGUAUCAGAGGGGAAAGUGGAAUUCCCGGUGUAGAGGUGAAAUUCGUAGAUAUCGGGAGGAAUACCGGUGGCGAAGGCGACUUUCUGGCUGAAUACUGACGCUGAGGCGCGAAAGCGUGGGGAGCAAACAGGAUUAGAUACCCCGUAGUCC